ensembl:lncRNA
GUCUUCUUUACCACCGAGGAAAGACGGAAUCCUACUAGAGGCCAGAAAAAGUGUUCCAGAGAUGGAUAGAAGGCCCUCACUUCUGCCUGCUCUCUUCAGACGCCUAAAGGACUUAAACUGUGAUAGAGUGGCUGAUAGAGUGUCCAAAGAUGGGACCACUGGUCAGCAGCCAUGGACUAGAUUCUCCACCGGUUGGGGACAAUCUGGUCACCUUGCUGCCCAAUCCGGACCUGGAGCCACCACAGCAUGAGUGUCAAACACUGACAGAAGCACAUGGGUGGAGGAAAGACCUGUGCGACUGGCUGAUUGACCCCUGCUGAAAGCCGAGGACCUUGUCCACAGACGGGAACAGUUCUCUUCAUGAAUGAAGGUCAGAGACAAGUGGGUGCUGCCAUGGUGGACAACACAAUGUCAUCUGGGAUGGCUGAACCUCUACCCCCCCAGCACAUCAGCGCCACAGAUGUCUUUGCCAUCUCUUAGAUGCCCUGAUGAAGCCAACAACUGUGAGUACUAUUCAUUGCUCAGGAUAUCAGGAGGGAAGUGAUUCAGUGACAUGGGACAAUAACAAAACAGAUAAAGUGGCUAUGCAGGAGCCUAUCCUGGUUACAGGCCUACAAGAAACAGCCACUGAGAACUAGGAUCGGACUAAGGGAUGGCCUCACUUAGAAUGUACAACAGAAGAAAAGGCCCAAGUUGUUUAAAAGAUAAAAGGACAAUGACACACUUGGGGAGAAAGCUGUACUCCCCCCCCCCCAGAGAACAAACAAAAGACUCACUUUGCCAAAUUAAGAAAUAGACUCAUUUAAGAGAUAAGAAGUUUGUCCAAAUAGUUAAAAUAUAUAUAAUAGACUUUAAGAUUUUAGCCAAGAGAGACAGUAAAAAGUAUAAGAUACGUUAGUAAACAAAUGCUUAACAAACAAACAGGACAAAGAGACCUAGAGAGUUUAACGAAAAGUUGAAGUGAACUUCACUGAGAUAAAACCAGAAAAAUAUAAUCACAAGUAUCUCCUAGUGCUUGUAGAUACUUUUUCAGGAAUAGAUAAAAGCUUUCCUCACCAAACGAGAGACGGCCUCUACAAUCAUCAAGAAGAUACUGAAAGAAAUCUUCCCCAGGUCUGGAAUGCCCAAGGUAAUCUGGUCAGACAACGGCCCUACUUUCGUUGCCAAGGUAAGCCAGGGUGUGGCCAAGUAUUUAGAGGUCGAUUAGAAAUUACAUUAUAUUUACAGACCUCAAAGUUCAGGACAGGUAGAGUAAAUAAAUAAAACUCUAAAAGAGACCCUAAACAGAUUGACCAUGGAGACUGGCACAGACUGGGUGACACUCCUUCCCUCUUGCUCUCUUCAGAGCAAGAAAUACCCCUUCCAGAUUCAGCCUUAUCCCCUUUGAGAUCUUAUAUGGGGCCUCAGCUCCCCUGACUGUAUUAGAUGAUGUUACUGAACCAACAUGUCAUAGUAAUAAUGAUUUGUGUGCCAGGCUAAAAGACCUACAGGUGAUACAGAAAGAAAUCUGCUCACAGCUGACAGCAGCCUAUGCCCCGGAGACCCCUGAGACAUCCCAUCAGUUCCAGGUCGGAAGCAGCUACACUGAGCCCAGACACUCGAGCCUCGCUGGAAAGGACCGUACCUGGUGCUGCUGACCACCCUGACAGCCGUCAAUUCUCAGCCAUCACCAGCCAUGUACUUACUAGCUGUUAGGGCUGAGAGCUGGGACCUAGAGGGAAAUUCAGUCAUGUUCGUCCUGGGUUCCAUCGAGAUAGGUGUGGGGAUAGGCUUGAUUUCUAUUACAAAUGAUGUAACAUUACAUAUGUUAGUACUCCUAACACUUCUUGGGAUUGUGCCUCAGGGAUCACAACCUAUAUAAGUUUAGAAGUUCUGAAAGACAGUCAUGACCUUGGUGUAUAGGUUCAGAUAGUGUCCAGAUUAGAAUCCUGAUGCUAAAGACUUUUUAGCUGACCUCCAAAAAUACCUAACCUCCCUCUCAGAGGUAGUCCUUCAAAAUAAAAAAAGAUUAGACCUGAUAUUCCUUAAAGAAGGAGCCUGUGUGCUACACUGAAAGAAUGUUGCUUCUAUACAGACCAUUCAGGAGUAAUUAAAGACUCCAUAAAUAAACUUAGAAAAAGGUUAGACAAAAGACAGACAGAAAAACACAUCAGAGAUAGUUCGAGAGCUAGUUUAGUAGAUCUCCCUGGAUGACUACCCUACUCUCUGCUACAGCUGGGCCAUUAUUAAUAAUUUUCUUGGUUUUAGUUUUUGGCUCCUGCGUGACAAACAGGUUAAUUGCUUUUGUUAAAAAUCGAGUGGGUGCUGUGCGGUUGAUGUCCUGAGACAACAGUACCAGUCAGUUAAGACAACUGGUGAGACCAAAUACGAGACUUGAUAUCAAAAUUCUAAGAUUAGAAUUAUUUAGUAGGAGAAGACGGGAAUGAAAAGAAA